rnacentral:pre_miRNA from 1 species
AAGUCCCUCAGAAGGCGCUCAGAAUGUGCAUCGUAGUUACUGAAUCGUUGCACAUGUUGAACGACCUGCUGGGUGCCUC